AAUUCGGCCAGUUCGCCACUUGAGACCUGCCCGUUUCUGGAUUUUAAUGGCCUUUUUUCCCAGGCAGAGGUGAAAGAAACCCGGGAAGCCUCCUGGAAAUCCCAUUGACUUGGCAGAAAGAAGAGCUGGACGAUGACUAGAAGGUUCCAGAAGACAUCAUGGGGAGACAUCUCAGGAAGGAAAAGUGAAUUAUCCACAGGAAUUCAGGGGCGGUGCUCCCCAUCGAAGGCUGGCAUCAGGAAAGACUCUGAGGUCAGAUCCAGACACGGGAUUGGAGGUGCUGAUAAACUCUGCUGCGGCACAGACUUUGGGGAGAAGAACUCCAGCGAGGUUAGCAGAGGAGCUGAGACUGGAAGAGGACUCAAAGAAUGGAAGAUGUCAGCAAUUUACCAGUAGUACGGGAGUCUCCAAGAAUCCAGGUUUAACAUUCAAAGCAAAGACCCCUCACCUGGAGGCCUCCGUCCACCUGAGCAUUCUUCAAGGAUCUCCUUGGGUCCCAGGUUAUCUAAUUUUUGGAUGGAGCAGGGAGCAGGGGACAGGCCAUCCAGACAGCAUUGAAGGGACUUCCCUGGUGUUGCAGUGAUUAGACUCUGCCUGCCAGUGUAAGGGGCCCAGGUUCCAUCCCUGGUCAGGGAACUAGAUCUCACAUGCUGCAACUGAUAAGAGCUCAAAUGCUGCCACUAGAGAUCCCGCAUGCCAAAACCAAGACCUGGAGCAG
rnacentral:lncRNA from 1 species